rnacentral:other from 1 species
CCGUACUUAAUAAGGAUAGUGAUUUUUUGAUUUUCGUCAAAUUUUCCUGAAAUUUUAAGUAUGAUGUUGUGUUUGCAUAUUGGUCUAGGUAACUAGACUAGAGUAACGAAAGUUACUCGUUUCACUUCCUGUAUAUUUCAAACCCUUUUGGUUUAUGCCCCUCAUUUGAGGGGCUUUUUUUG